CCUACGGGUGGCAGCAGUGGGGAAUAUUGCACAAUGGAGGGAACCCUGAUGCAGCGACGCCGCGUGAAGGAAGAAGUAUUUCUGUAUGUAAACUUCUAUCAGCAGGGGAGAAAAUGACGGUACCUGACUAAGAAGCCCCGGCUAACUACGUGCCAGCAGCCGCGGUAAUACGUAGGGGGCAAGCGUUAUCCGGAUUUACUGGGUGUAAAGGGAGCGUAGGCGGCAGUGAAAGUUAGAAGUGAAAGCCCAAGGCUCAACCACGGGACUGCGUGUGAAACUGUUCAGCUAGAUUGCAGGAGAGGUAAGUGGAAUGCAUAGUGUAGCGGUGAAAUGCGUAGAGAUUAGGAGGAACACCAGUGGCGAAGGCGGCUUACUGGACUGUAAAUGACGUUGAGGCCCGAAAGCGUGGGGAGCAAACAGGAUUAGAUACCCUAGUAGUC
rnacentral:rRNA from 1 species